AUGCCUUUGGGGCAACACUGUGUUCCCUGCUCCCCUCCUCAGACUAGAUGCGGAGGAAGGCAAUCUCCUGUUAGGUGUGAAGGGCUCCGUGGCCCCACCCCUCACAGUACCUGUCGGGGCCUUGGUGUCGGCCUUCCUGCUCUCCCGGUCCCCCUUCUGGGCCCACACGUGGACCGUGUACUCCACGCCCGGCCUCAGGCCCGUCAGGACGGUGCUGCUCUGCUCCUUCCCCACUGGAACCUCCCUGGUGUCUCCGUCAGCAGAGGUGUAGCGCACCAGGUACCUGUCGAUGACGGCCUGCACCGGGUCCCAGGAGAUGGUGGCCGUGUUCUCCGUCACCUGCUUGGUCACCAGGUUUUGGGGGCUGUCAAUGUCUGAAAAGACAACAACAAUCAAUAAGCAUUAGUAAUAGGCCACAGAGUGGAGAAAAUCACAGCCACCUUGCUGGGGGUGACACCCUUUCAUGUUUCAUGAGAUUUCCAUCCUGCAUGCUCUAACUGCA
rnacentral:lncRNA from 1 species